UAGAUGAAAAAUGGGCAGAAUUCGCCCACGAAAAGAAAAAUAGGUAAAAAAAUUGGCAUAGUAUAAAUCCUAUGUAUGCUGAGGAAAUAAAAAAUGAGAUAGAAAAACUGAAUCGUAAACAAAGUUCAGGUUCGAAUUUCAUAGAUAAUAUACAUAGUAUUGUUUAUAAUCUAUAAUGAUAAACAGAUGAAAGACUUUCAAAAGAUUUGAUCCAAUUAUAAUUUUCAUAAUGACUGGGUUGACUUUGAAAAUUCAUUCAUUGAAAUUGAAUUGGUUGGGUGGUACCAAGAAAAUCGAUUAUUAACUUACAUUUCUUAUUAAAUAUUAAUUAAUAUUUAAUAUUAAUUAAAUUAACUGAUCAACUUGCUUUGUUAUCAAACAUUUUUUUCUUGAUUUCAAUUUUUUUUUUUUUUUCAAAAAAAAAAACGGAUCUAUUUUAAUAUGAGACUAACUCCUACCACUUCGGAUACUGAGGUUUCUGGACUUGAAAAAAAAAAUAUAGGACGUAUCACGCAAAUAAUUGGUCCGGUACUCGAUGUAGUUUUUCCACCAGGGAAGAUGCCUAAUAUUUACAACGCUCUGAUAGUUCAAGGUCGAGAUACUGUUGGCCAAGAAAUUAACGUAACUUGUGAAGUACAGCAAUUAUUAGGAAAUAAUAGAGUUAGAGCUGUAGCUAUGAGUGCUACAGAUGGUCUAAAGAGAGGAAUGGUUGUGAUUAACACGGGAGCUCCCCUAAGUGUUCCAGUCGGCGGAGCAACCCUAGGUCGAAUUUUCAACGUGCUUGGAGAGCCUAUUGAUAAUUUAGGUCCUGUAGAUACUGGGACAACCUCUCCUAUUCAUAGAUCCGCGCCUGCCUUUAUACAGUUAGAUACAAAAUUAUCCAUUUUUGAAACAGGAAUUAAAGUUGUAGAUCUUUUAGCUCCUUAUCGCCGUGGCGGAAAAAUAGGACUUUUCGGUGGAGCUGGGGUAGGUAAAACAGUACUGAUUAUGGAAUUGAUCAAUAACAUUGCCAAAGCUCAUGGAGGUGUAUCCGUAUUUGGCGGAGUAGGUGAGCUUACUCGUGAGGGAAAUGAUCUUUAUAUGGAAAUGAAAGAAUCCGGAGUAAUUAAUGAAAAAAAUAUUGCGGAAUCAAAAGUAGCUCUAGUCUACGGGCAAAUGAAUGAACCGCCCGGAGCUCGUAUGAGAGUUGGUUUAACUGCCCUAACUAUGGCAGAAUAUUUCCGAGAUGUCAAUGAACAGGACGUCCUUCUAUUUAUCGACAAUAUCUUCCGUUUUGUCCAAGCCGGAUCCGAAGUAUCUGCCCUAUUGGGCCGAAUGCCUUCCGCUGUGGGUUAUCAACCCACCCUGGGUACUGAAAUGGGUACUUUACAAGAACGAAUUACUUCUACCAAAGAAGGGUCUAUAACUUCUAUUCAAGCAGUUUAUGUACCUGCAGACGAUUUGACCGAUCCUGCUCCUGCCACGACAUUUGCACAUUUGGAUGCUACUACUGUACUAUCAAGAGGAUUAGCUUCCAAAGGUAUCUAUCCAGCAGUCGAUCCUUUAGAUUCAACGUCAACCAUGCUCCAACCUCGGAUCGUUGGUGAAGAACAUUAUGAAACUGCGCAAAGGGUUAAACAAACGUUACAACGUUACAAAGAACUUCAGGACAUUAUAGCUAUUCUUGGGUUGGACGAAUUAUCCGAAGAGGAUCGUUUAACCGUAGCAAGAGCACGAAAAAUUGAACGUUUCUUAUCCCAACCUUUUUUCGUAGCAGAAGUAUUUACAGGUUCCCCAGGGAAAUAUGUUGGUCUAGCAGAAACAAUUAGAGGGUUUAAAUUGAUUCUUUCUGGAGAAUUAGAUAGUCUUCCUGAACAAGCCUUUUAUUUGGUGGGUAAUAUCGAUGAAGCUACUGCGAAGGCUGCGAACUUGUAAAUGGAGAAAGUGAAGGAAAUUAUUUUAUCUACUAAUAGUGGACAAAUUGGGGUAUUAAAAAAUCAUGCGCCUAUUGCCACAGCUUUAGAUAUAGGUAUUUUGAAAAUACGCCUUAACAAUAACAACCGACAAUGGGUAACGAUGGCUCUGAUGGGCGGUUUUGCUAGAAUAGGAAAUAAUGAGAUCACUAUUUUAGUAAAUGAUGCGGAAAAGAGUAUUGACAUUGAUCCACAAGAAGCACAACAAACUCUAAAAAUAGCAGAAGCUAACUUGAAUAAGGCUGAAGGGAAAAGACAAAAAAUUGAGGCAAAUCUAGCUCUCCGACGAGCUAGGACACGAGUAGAGGCUAUCAAUAGGAUCUCGUAACAAGUUGGUUCAGCAAAAUAAUUAAAAAUAGAAAAAGAUAGAAAAUUACAAUAAAAAAAGAUGAGUAGAAAAACUUAUUAGAUACCGGAAUCAAUGGUAUCUAAUACGUUCUAUCUAUACCUUACCUACUAUUGGAUUUGAACCAAUGACUCCUGCCGUAUGAAAGCAAUACUCUAACCACUGAGUUAAGUAGGUCGUUUAUCAUCCUAAAUAAAAAAAGUACCCAUCUAUCAGAUCAAUGGAUUAUAAAUGUUAUAUUACUUAUAAACAAUACCAACGCACUAUCAAUCAAAGAGAUUCGAUCAUGUAAUAUUAAUCUUGACAAGAAUUUAUUUAUCGAAUAAAAUAUGUAUCAAAAGCACAAGGGCUAUAGCUCAGUUGGUAGAGCACCUCGUUUACACACGCGCCAAUGUUUUUUUUUCAUAGGAGUCCAUCAUGUAAUUAAAAGAGUUGAUCUUAUUGAGAAAUCCAUGUCUUACUCCAGGAAUAAAAUAAGAGAACAAUAGCCUGACAAAGGAUUUAGACGUCAAAUAAAAUCCAUAAUGGAUUUGAGAUAUUGAUAAGGUGAAUACUUAAUCUAUUCAAUGCUAGGCAAAUGAGUCUAGGGACCUCAAAAAAAUUCUCUUUUCUUCCUAUCUUAUGAACUUUAAGGUGUAUGAAGUUUCAUUUCCUAUUUGAUAUUUUUAUUUAAGUGGGUUGAUAGAGAGUCCAUUUAACUUUAGUUGAUCCAGGCCAAAAGCAGACCUACGUCAGGAUAACCUUCUUCUUUGAAAAACUUUGGUAGUGCUCUUAGAUUAAAAUCUAAAAAAAAAUAAAUCAGAGCACAGGGAAUCAUUUCCUUUUUCUUUGUGUAAAGAAAAAAGAUGGUAGACUAAUUGAUAUUUCUAUCAGUUAAUGAAAAAGCCCAAUGCAAAAAAAAAUGCACGUUGGGUUUUUAAAACAAUUCAAAUCAUUUUGAUAAUAAUAGUUUGAUCUGUUUUAC